rnacentral:rRNA from 1 species
AUGCGCCAGCUAAGGCUCGUCACCAACAUGAGGGCUCAUAAUGACACCUGGUUUGCGGAUUACUUGCUAAGGGUAGGGAAUGGCACUGAGGAAGUUGACGAUCAAGGAAACAUACGACUCCCUGAAGAUAUUUGUGUGCCAUCUACAGGCGAGGGUGACGACCUAGAGAAGCUGAUUAACCAUGUGUUUCUGACACUAGAUGACAACAUGUCCGAUCCGAAUUACAUGACUUCACACGCAAUCCUCUCCACCACAAACGACAACGUCGACAAGAUAAACAUACGCAUGGUAGAGCGUUUUCGGGGAGAAGAAGUAAUCUACCAUAGCUUUGACAGUGCAGAAGACGAACCAUAUGGCUACUACGCUCCCGAGUUCCUGAAUGGGUUGACUCCCAACGGUCUGCCUCCGCAUGCACUCAAACUGAAGCUCAAAUGCCCUGUCAUACUUCUGAGGAACAUUGAUCCAGCUAAUGGUCUGUGUAACGGGACGAGGCUUGUGGUCCGAGGUUUCGAGAGGAACGCCAUCGACGCAGAAAUCGUGAUCGGACAACACGCAGGUAGGAGGGUAUUCCUUCCUCGAAUACCCCUAUCCCCGUCUGACAAUGACAUGUUUCCCUUCAAGUUCAAGAGGAAGCAAUUUCCUGUAAGGCUUAGCUUUGCUAUGACGAUUAACAAGGCUCAAGGACAGACGAUUCCGAUUGUUGGCGUGUACCUACCUAAUCCGGUGUUCUCUCAUGGUCAACUCUAUGUCGCGUUGUCUCGAGCCACCGCGAAGAGGAACAUAAAGAUCCUCAUUGAGAAGGAGAAGGAGAAGGAUAAUGGCAAGAAGCAAAGUGGUAAAUCAAAGAAGCGAAAAAGACCUUCCUUGUCCUUACAAACCUCGAUGAAGAACAUCGUCUAUAAGGAAGUCCUUACAGGCUGA